AGUGGGGAAUAUUGCACAAUGGACGAAAGUCUGAUGCAGCAACGCCGCGUGGAGGAUGACACAUUUCGGUGCGUAAACUCCUUUUAUAUGAGAAGAUAAUGACGGUAUCAUAUGAAUAAGCACCGGCUAACUUCGUGCCAGCAGCCGCGGUAAUACGAGGGGUGCAAGCGUUACUCGGAAUCACUGGGCGUAAAGAGCAUGUAGGCGGUUAGAUAAGUUGGAAGUGAAAUCCUAUGGCUUAACCAUAGAACUGCUUCCAAAACUGUUUAACUAGAGUAUGGGAGAGGUAGAUGGAAUUUCUGGUGUAGGGGUAAAAUCCGUAGAGAUCAGAAGGAAUACCGAUUGCGAAGGCGAUCUACUGGAACAUAACUGACGCUAAGAUGCGAAAGCGUGGGGAGCAAACAGGAUUAGAUACCCUGGUAGUCCACGCCCUAAACGAUGUACACUAGUUGUUGCUAUACUAGAUAUAGCAGUAAUGCAGUUAACACAGUAAGUGUACCGCCUGGGGAGUACGGUCGCAAGAUUAAAACUCAAAGGAAUAGACGGGGACCCGCACAAGCGGUGGAGCAUGUGGUUUAAUUCGACGAUACGCGAAGAACCUUACCUGGCCUUGACAUAAACAGAAUUCAGUAGAGAUAUAGAAGUGCUAGUUUACUAGAGCUGUUAUACAGGUGCUGCACGGCUGUCGUCAGCUCGUGUCGUGAGAUGUUGGGUUAAGUCCCGCAACGAGCGCAACCCUCGCUAAUAGUUAAUAACGGUUCGGCCGAUGACUCUAUUAGGACUGCCUAUGCAAGUAGGAGGAAGGUGAGGACGACGUCAAGUCAUCAUGGCCCUUACGGCCAGGGCUACACACGUGCUACAAUGGGGUAUACAAAGAGCCGCAAUACCGUGAGGUGGAGCAAAUCUUAAAAAUAUCUCCCAGUUCGGAUUGUAGUCUGCAACUCGACUACAUGAAGUUGGAAUCGCUAGUAAUCGUGAAUCAGCAAGGUCACGGUGAAUACGU
rnacentral:rRNA from 1 species